GGUUUCCGUAGCUCAGUACGGGACAGCUUGACCGCCAGGUCAAGGUGAUCCUUCCGCGUAACACUUGCCGAAGCCUUAGCAGCCCGAAAGGGUGCAGUUCCGCGACUCAAAGAAAGGAGGACUGCUGAAAUGCUAGUCUGCAGAAGCAGGCAACACUAUCAAAUUGCGGGAACACCCUAAAGACCUCAACACCAAGCGUCAUGGGAAACCAUGGCGUGGCCGAGCUAAUAGCCCUGGGUAUGGUAACAGCUUGAGGUAUGAAGCCUUCGCAAGGAGGCCGAAAUGGGCAAUCCGCAGCCAAGUCCUAACGUGCUCGAAACCGAGUGCUAUGGAUGCUGUUCACAGGCCAAAUGGUAGUGGGUGACUCUUGCGAGUUGCUUAAGAUAUGGUCGGGCCCCUUCAGAAAUGUGGGGGAUAAGCUUACGCUUCUCCAAACCGUUCCGUAGGUGAACCUGCGGAAGGAUCAUUA
rnacentral:rRNA from 1 species